GCGGCCGUAGCUCAGUUGGUAGAGCCCCGGAUUGUGAUUCCGGUUGUCGUGGGUUCAAACCCCAUCGGUCGCCCCA
rnacentral:tRNA from 1 species